GAGCGGGAAGCAGACGACCAAGGCUUUGUCGUCGAUGUCGUCAGAAGAACUCCUAUUAAAAUUAACAGAGGCCGGACUCGAAUUCUCAGAGGAAGAAAACAGAAAAUUCAAAGAUUUUGAAGUUGAUGGGGAAACUGUCAGUGCUGGACUCACGGAUCACAUGAUAGCACAACUUCUUGAGAAGUCUUUUAAGAAGCAAGUUAAAUUUAUCAAACUUAUCCAACAACUUGAAGAGAACCAGAGUGAAGAACCGUCUGAAAGUCUGACUACACCUUCAGCUUUGAGGCAAGUAUUAGUAUUGUGUUAUUUAUGUUCCCUUAUAUUUUCUUCUGAUUGACUGAUUUUCCUUAAGUCCUUAAAUUUUGUAUUAAUUUUUUUGCCAGAAUGACAUUGAUGUCAGUCUUGAUAAAGCACAGUAAAACUGCACUUCAAAGUCUGAAAGAUUUCACAGAAGUAACUAUACUACUAUAGUAUUCUAUACUAAUAGAAGUCUAUUAACCCAAAACUCUGAUGCUUCAAAACUUCAAUAGAGAUCGUAAAAUAAGUCCAAAUGAAUUAAGUCGGUUAAUUAAUUUGUUUAUUUAAAAUCUGGCCAUCAUUUUAUGUUACAAAAAGUGCAUAAUGCUGCUAAUUUUUGUUGGUUUCAACAUACAAUUCUGUGAAGUGAUUUCAGUAUAUGUGAGUACUUUUAGAACAUUCCAGAACAUUUUAUCAAUAGCUGCGUUUACUUGGACACUUGUAAUUGAAUUGAUGGCUCAAUCGGACUAAAAAACCUUCAUGUAAACACCUUAAUCGAUCUGAUUUAGCUUGAUCCAGAUGAAAUUUAGAUCGGAUUGAAAUGGGCGGUUUAUCCCUUUUGUAAUCCGAUCGAGAGAACAUGUAAACACUUGAUCGGAUUGAAAACUGAAAGGACUGUGCAAUGACGUUAAAUAGCGUAAUGACGUAUGACGCGUGGAACGAGCUGUUCUUCCUGUUGAAUAAAGUGUCAUAUUAAUAAGUUUCCCGUCAUUCUAAAAUCCUAAUUUCACUCGCGUCUCUGUGAAGUGAAGCAGGACAACGUCCCACCAGUCCUUGUUUUGGAUUCUCAUCCAAAGAUGUCUGGUUUUGGCCGUGGUGAGGGGCAUUUUUCCUGCGUGAUCAAUAAGCAGCACGGCAAAACGGUUAAUCUGCUCUAAAUUAUGACCAGAGACAAAUUAAUAUUAUGUCUGCUGUUUAAAACAAAGAAAUAACCAAUAGAGGAGAAUAUUUAUGCGCGAACAGCCGGAAACUCUGUAUAUUUGUGCAGUGUGCCCAUGUCAAAACAUAAAAUCUGAUUUGAAACUUGUGACACAUAAACGCGCACAUCAACCCGAUUACUUUAUUUAUCAUUCAUGUAAACACAUUGUUCGGAUUCAUCAAUUGUAUUGAUUUCAUUCUGAUUGUGUCCAUGUAAACGUAGCUAAUGCUGUUAAAAUUCAGAGAUCAUUUUGGUCACUAUAGUCGUGAUAUGAACAUUUCAUACUGUUUCAUCUCUAUUCUGCGUCAUUCCUCUGUCUAAACAGCCAAGAGCAAAGAAUUUCAGCCCCAUUCCUCGUCUUCUCACUACCAAAUUCCCAAAGGAUGUUCAGUUAAAAUUGGAUAACAAAGAACCAUGUCAUAAGAUCAGCACUUACCGGCAUAAAAUUGUACGAGUGCUGCACGAGACUAUGGCUCAGCACACACUAUAUCCUUCAAACAGUGACUAUGUUUGUGCAGUCAAGGCUCUUAUCUCCAAAUACCCUUACCUGAGAGAUGCAGAGGGAAAUGGAUAUGAAGAACCAGCCACACCAUAUCCCACUGUACAGAUUUUGGGAGCGUCUAACUGGAAACAGGUCUUCAGCCAGAAGAGAAUUUUCAGCACUGUGAAAAUGAAGGGAUCUUUGCUGAGCAGUUGGGGUGGAGGACGGUGUUCUCUCUGCUUUUUGCACGUAUUUUGUAUUCAACCUUUCGUCCCUCAUACAACAGGAACACGCAUUUCUUUCUCCAAAGGCAUGUGUUGAAGCUAACUGCACCUGGUGACAAACCAUUGCCAACUGCUGUCGUCAGGAUUAUUUUAUCUUAGACUGAGAGGGUGCCACGACCCUAUGCAUGUCCAAAUUGUUCCUCACAGACAUUCAUGAAUAUUGCUGCUUCCUUAAG